GAUUAAGUUUGUCCUCGAAACCCUCAACCAAAAUUUUCAUGAAAAAUAACAUCAAUUUUCAACUAUUCCUUUGAAAUAAUCUUGUUUCCAUGAUCUUUCUGGAUUCAUAAGACUUUUGAAGAAGCUUGGCCGACGAUGGAAUAUUUUUUCCAAUUCCGCCUCACUCAUAAAAACUACAAACGAUAGAAAAUUCAAUAUUGAAAAAACACACUAACUUUUCUCCCAAUUAAACUUCUAAAAAUAGGUAUGUAUCUGAAGUACCUGCUCAAGCUCAUUCAAUCCAAUUAAAAAUGAAAACAAAUCACAAAAAUACUUUCCUAUUAAAAAAAUUUUUCACGUCUUUUUUAAUGGUAUGCAUCGUCAUCAUUUUAGUGACCCGGUAUCAGUAGAACAGAAUUUUCCAAUUAGUAGUUAGAUAUCACAGCACCAAUUGGAGAAUGUUUACAUUCGGAGAAAUUUUCAUUUUAAUUGCAACGACGUCAAUUAGCAAAUCUUGAUUGCAAGACGAUUGUUAAUUUCCAACACCGAUUACCAUUGCGGCAUUUUAUUUCCAUGCGGUGAAAUUUUUCUUUAUUUUUCACGCAAUCGAACAGCUGUUGUAGAUCGGGUACCAAGUAGGUAGGUAAAUUUUCUCGAACACGAAAUAACGCUCUUCCUCGUCAAGUAGCAUUUUGAAGGUGACGUCAUCAAUUUAACAGUUACAAUUGUGAGAUAACACGCUACUACAGACCAAUCACCGCGACACGUUACUUACAAAUUCAAAUAAUACAUUUAAAAUUUUGGUGUCAUAUAAAAUACUAAAUACACUAUACAAAAUACACAGACACACAUCCACUAUCCGCACACAUAAUAUACGAUACGACUGAUUUAACAAUGUCACAUACAGUAGAUGUACAUAAAGCACCGCGUGCCUAUUGCCAAUUUACACGAUCGCGAUCCAAAAGCAGUACAAUUUUUUCCUCGAAUAUGUCACAUUCGAAGCCAAUAAGACGUAUAUUCCGCAUUUACAUCGAAAUACGAGGUACCCAUGAGAUUACAUUAUCAGUGGAACAUGUACAAGUUGAAAUUUCCCGAAUAUUAACUAUUACGAAAAAAAACACUAUGAUAUUUACAUACGUUACAAUGCUCGAAUAGAGUGCCUAUAACUAUUAGGAAACGUCGUCGCUAGAAUUUGACGACAAGUUUUUUUGCGUUGCAAGAGUCGAGCUUUGUAAUAGAAAAUUGCGCAAAUUACGUUCAAUUAGUUACGCAAGCAGCACAUGGCGAAAAAAAAUACUACAAACCUUUUAUAAGCGCUUAUAUGCUGAAAAUGAACUGGUUUUGGUGGCGUCGGCGGUUUCUGUUUACCUAUGCAAAAAUAAAAAUUUGAAAGCAACAGUACACGUAACAGAAAAAAAGCACAACGGAUACACGUACGAACGCGAAAUCACAGUAGGUA